rnacentral:rRNA from 1 species
UACGUAGGUGGCAAGCGUUGUCCGGAAUUAUUGGGCGUAAAGCGCGCGCAGGCGGUCCUUUAAGUCUGAUGUGAAAGCCCACGGCUCAACCGUGGAGGGUCAUUGGAAACUGGGGGACUUGAGUACAGAAGAGAGAGUGGAAUUCCACGUGUAGCGGUGAAAUGCGUAGAGAUGUGGAGGAACACCAGUGGCGAAGGCGACUCUUGGUCGUGUAACUGACGCUGAGGCGCGAAAGCGUGGGGAGCAAACAGGAUUAAGA